rnacentral:lncRNA from 1 species
CCCAAACAAUGACUUAAGAAUUAACCCACACAUACAAGCAGUUGCAUGAACUCACCCCAAUGUCUUCAUCGCUCUGUAUGAGCUGUGAAUGUCCAAAGAGACGUCUCUUCAGUAUAGGUUCCACUAGUGUAAGGUACACCAUGUACAGAAGAAGUAGGCCCAAAAUAGACAGGUAUAUGAUGAUUGUAACCUUAAUUGUGACAGAGCUUCUCUCUUCAUACUUGCACUCACAACGUAAACAAUAUGCUUCUACGUCAGGUCCAGGGACAGGCAUAGGCUCAACCACAUGAAGACAAUCACAGUCCUUCUGCGAAACGUUUUUAUUGUAGAUAUGGCCCGAGUGGUCUUUGUAAGGAGGGCAGAUGCAUUUACAUCGGACGUCCUCCGAGUUCUUAGCCUGGGCGCCCAGCCCCGCCAGCACGGCCAGCAGCCCGCAGAGGCACAGCCAGCCCCCGAGGCCGGUCGCCAUGUCGGCCCGGGGCUUCUCGCCGCUGUGCACCGCUUAACCACUCCGCCGCGCCGCCGCCAUCA